rfam:Citreicella sp. 357 C357_118, whole genome shotgun sequence.
GGAUCGAGAGACCCACUUUGGGACGUGGGUCGAGCAUGGAUCAGAUGAAUUGCCAUCUCGGAUGGAUGCACGGCCGGCGCCCACCGGCCUGUGUU